rnacentral:piRNA from 1 species
UAACCCAUUGGUGAGGUUCAAGUCCAGU